GAUGGCUUGGGUGAGUGGUCUGUACCGUAGAACUAGAAGUUCUAUCCCUUCGUGGGCGUCGGUUCGAAUCCGGCAGCUAUCU